UUUUUUUCUUUUUUUUUUUGAAAUUCUUCUCUAAGCUAAAUAAACAUGCUUUACUCUAAACUGAGAUAGUUAGCUGGUAUCGCUUUAAAAAAGGAACAAAAUACCAGAAAAUAGGUAUUUCACCAAUUAACAAUUCUCAGUAAAUGCAGUUUAAAUUAUAUAGAGAAAAACUGUGGAAGGGUUUAAAUUUUGUUUCAUAUUCAUAGCAUUUAAGCAACGAGAGAGAGAAAGAGAGAGAGAG
rnacentral:misc_RNA from 1 species